rnacentral:tRNA from 1 species
UGUAGCUCUACGGUAGAGCAUUUUGCCUAGCAGGCAUGAAGUCCUGGGUUUGAUUCCCAGCA